UACGUAGGGUGCAAGCGUUAAUCGGAAUUACUGGGCGUAAAGCGUGCGCAGGCGGUUGUGCAAGACAGGUGUGAAAUCCCCGGGCUCAACCUGGGAAUGGCAUUGGUGACUGUACGGCUAGAGUGUGUCAGAGGGGGGGUAGAAUUCCACGUGUAGCAGUGAAAUGCGUAGAGAUGUGGAGGAAUACCAGUGGCGAAGGCGGCUAUCGUGGGCUGGAAACUGACGCUGAGGCGCGAAGGCUAGGGGAGCAAACAGG
rnacentral:rRNA from 1 species